GUCUAGAAAAACGAAACAAAAAUUACACAUACACUAAAACUGGAACCAUACAGGGAAGAGUAGCAUGGUCCCUGUGAAAGGAUGACAAUUUGUGAAGUUUUCCAUAUUUGC
ensembl:snRNA U6 U6 spliceosomal RNA